CGGCCCGAACUCUUAGGGGAGGCAGCAGUGGGGAAUAUUGGACAAUGGGGGCAACCCUGAUCCAGCCAUGCCGCGUGUGUGAAGAAGGCUUUCGGGUUGUAAAGCACUUUCAGUGAGGAGGAAAACCUUAAGUUAAAUACUCNUGAGGCUUGACGUUACUCACAGAAGAAGCACGGGCUAACUCCG
rnacentral:rRNA from 1 species